CUCGGACACUUUCUAGCGGUUGGAGGAUUGAAUCACCUCGAGCUCAACAUUUAAAUGGACUGAAAAAUAACGAUAACAUCAAACAAAAAACCAUGGAGAAAGUCAAGAG